AUACGGAGGAUGCGAGCGUUAUCCGGAUUUAUUGGGUUUAAAGGGAGCGUAGGUGGGAUAUUAAGUCAGCUGUGAAAGUUUGGGGCUCAACCUUAAAAUUGCAGUUGAUACUGGUUUCCUUGAGUACGGUACAGGUGGGCGGAAUUCGUGGUGUAGCGGUGAAAUGCUUAGAUAUCACGAAGAACUCCGAUCGCGAAGGCAGCUCACCGGGCCGGAACUGACACUGAUGCUCGAAAGUGCGGGUAUCAAACAGGAUUAGAUACCCUGGUAGUCCGCACAGUAAACGAUGAAUACUCGCUGUUUGCGAUACACUGUAAGCGGCCAAGCGAAAGCGUUAAGUAUUCCACCUGGGGAGUACGCCGGCAACGAUGAAACUCAAAUGAAUUGACGGGG
rnacentral:rRNA from 1 species